GUCCACGCCCUAAACGAUGUCAACUGGUUGUCGGGGAAGUUAUUCCUUGGUAACGAAGCUAACGCGUGAAGUUGACCGCCUGGGGAGUACGGCCGCAAGGUUAAAACUCAAAGGAAUUGACGGAGACCCGCACAAGCGGUGGAUUAUGUGGAUUAAUUCGAUGCAACGCGAAAAACCUUACCUACCCUUGACAUGCUAGGAAGCUCGCAGAGAUGUGAGUGUGCCCCGAAAGGGACCUAGACACAGGUGCUGCAUGGCUGUCGU
rnacentral:rRNA from 1 species